GGCCUUUUUCUAAACCCGCGUCUUUGUUUUUCUUCUUCUUCAAGCUUUUUUACCAGCGGUCAGAGACAGAGUUCAUCAAUCAACAACUGACUGAACCUCAGCGAGUUAGCGAUUAUAGCGUCCUUUCAACCACGUCCAGUAGCUCCAGCUGACUGCUGAUGGCCGCCAUGGCUACGGCAGGGGCUCUACAUUUCUCUCGCUUACGCAUUCGGCGGCCCUGCUCCGCUUUGUUAUCUUCUUGUCUUAUCCCUUCUCCUUCUGCUCUUCUAUUCUCUACUUGUCCCUCUUUCCCCCGCAAGUAUCCUCGCCUCUCCUUCAGCCUU
rnacentral:lncRNA from 1 species